rnacentral:rRNA from 1 species
GACGAACGCUGGCGGCGUGCUUAACACAUGCAAGUCGAACGGAAAGGCCCUGCUUUUGUGGGGUGCUCGAGUGGCGAACGGGUGAGUAACACGUGAGUAACCUGCCCUUGACUUUGGGAUAACUUCAGGAAACUGGGGCUAAUACCGGAUAGGAGCUCCUGCUGCAUGGUGGGGGUUGGAAAGUUUCGGCGGUUGGGGAUGGACUCGCGGCUUAUCAGCUUGUUGGUGGGGUAGUGGCUUACCAAGGCUUUGACGGGUAGCCGGCCUGAGAGGGUGACCGGCCACAAUGGGACUGAGAUACGGGCCAGGAUUCUACGGGAGGCAGCAGUGGGGAAUAUUGCACAAUGGGCGGAAGCCUGAUGCAGCAACGCCGCGUGCGGGAUGACGGCCUUCGGGUUGUAAACCGCUUUCGCCUGUGACGAAGCGUGAGUGACGGUAAUGGGUAAAGAAGCACCGGCUAACUACGUG